UGCAAAGACAGAUGCCAUAUCAGGUAGUAACAGAGGGUUUGAUUCUGGCUCAGAUUGAACGCUGGCGGGAUGUUUACACAUGCAAGUCGAACUGGCAGCACGGACUUCGGUCUGGUGGCGAGUGGCGAACGGUGAGAAUACUGGAACGCCUAGUAGCGGGGGAUAACUACGCGAAAGCGUAGCUAAUACCGCAUGGCCCUUCGGGGGAAAGUGGGGUCUUCUGGGCCUCGCACUAUUAGAGCGGCCGAUAUCGGAUUAGCUAGUUGGUGGGGUAACGGCUCACCAGCAGACGAUCCGUAGCUGGUUUGAGAGGAUGACCAGCCACACUGGGACUGAGACACGGCCCAGACUCUACGGGAGGCAGCAGUGGGAAUUUUGGACAAUGGGGAAACUCUGAUCCAGCUUAUCCCGCGUGUGCGAUGAGGGCCUUCGGGUUGUAAAGCACUUUUGGCAGGAAAGAAACGGCACGGGAUAAAUACCCCGUGCAACUGACGGUACCUGCAGAAUAAGCACCGGCUAAUCAGCGUGCCAGCAGCCGCGGUAAUACGUAGGGCAGUGCAAGCGUUAACGGAAUUACUGGGCGUAAAGCGUGCGCAGGCGGUUCGGAAAGAAAGAUGUGAAACCAGAGCUUAAUCUUUGGAACUGCAUUUUUAAUCAUCAGCUAGGAGUGUCAGGAGGGGAGGUGGAAUUCGCGUGUAGCAGUGAAAUGCGUAGAUAUGCGGAGGAACACCGAUGGCGAAGGCAGCCUCCUGGGGAUAACACUGACGUUCAUGCACGAAAGCGUGGGGAGCCAAACAGGAUGAUACCCUGGUAGUCCACGCCCUAAACGAUGUCAACUAGCUGUUGGGGCCUUCGGGCUUUGUAGCGCAGCUAACAGCGGUGAAGUUGGACCGCCUGUGGGGAGUACGGUCGCAAAGAUUAAAAUCAGCAAUGACAAGACCCGCAUGGGCGGUGGAUGAUGUGGAUUAAUUCUGAUGCAACGCGAAAACCUUUACCUACCCUUGACACACGUCUGGAAUCCCGAAGAGAUUGGGAGUGCUCGGCAAGAGAACUGGAACACAGGUGCUGCAUGGUUGUCGUCAGUCGUCGUGAGAUAUUGCUGGUGUCCCGCAACGAGCGCAACCCUUGUGGUCAUUAGUUGCUACGAAAGGGCACUUCAUCGAGGCUGCCGGUGACAAACGGGAGGAAGGUGGGGAUGACGCUAUCCUCGCGGUCUCUUAUGGGUAGGGCUUCACACGUCAUACAAUGGUCGGGAACAGGCAGGUGGAAGAGGUCGCCAACCAUGAGGGGGAGCCAUCCCAGAACCCGAUCGUAGUCCGGAUCGUAAGUCUGCAACCUGACUGCGUAAGUCGGACCGCGGUAAUCGCGGAUCAGCAUGUCGCGGUGAAUACGUUCCCGGUCUUGUACACACCGCCCGUCACACCAUGUGGAGGCCGGUAUCAGAAGUAUAGCCCAACCGGUAAGGAGGGCGAUUACCACGGUAGGAUUCAUGACUGGUAAAGCUGUAACAAGGUAA
rnacentral:rRNA from 1 species